UCGCUCGCUAGCUCGCUCGCUCGGCUGGAAAUCUCGCGAGAGAUCGAGUUCUCAUGAAUUCUCCCAGGAGCCUCUGCUCUUCCUCUUCCCCUAAGCGGCCUGAGGUGACCUCUGAAAAUGGUUCGCUAUUCGCUUGACCCAGAAAACCCUACGAAAUCAUGUAAAUCAAGAGGUUCAAAUCUUCGUGUUCACUUUAAG